GAUGAACGCUGGCGGCGUGCCUAAUACAUGCAAGUCGAGCGAACGGACGAGAAGCUUGCUUCUCUGAUGUUAGCGGCGGACGGGUGAGUAACACGUGGAUAACCUACCUAUAAGACUGGGAUAACUUCGGGAAACCGGAGCUAAUACCGGAUAAUAUUUUGAACCGCAUGGUUCAAAAGUGAAAGACGGUCUUGCUGUCACUUAUAGAUGGAUCCGCGCUGCAUUAGCUAGUUGGUAAGGUAACGGCUUACCAAGGCAACGAUGCAUAGCCGACCUGAGAGGGUGAUCGGCCACACUGGAACUGAGACACGGUCCAGACUCCUACGGGAGGCAGCAGUAGGGAAUCUUCCGCAAUGGGCGAAAGCCUGACGGAGCAACGCCGCGUGAGUGAUGAAGGUCUUCGGAUCGUAAAACUCUGUUAUUAGGGAAGAACAAAUGUGUAAGUAACCGUGCACAUCUUGACGGUACCUAAUCAGAAAGCCACGGCUAACUACGUG
rnacentral:rRNA from 1 species